rnacentral:rRNA from 1 species
GACGAACGCUGGCGGCGUGCUUAACACAUGCAAGUCGAACGGUGAAGCGCCUUCCUUUUUGGUGGGUGUGGAUGAGUGGCGAACGGGUGAGUAACACGUGAGUAACCUGCCCCCUUCUUCUGGAUAACCGCAUGAAAGUGUGGCUAAUACGGGAUAUUCUGGGUCUGUCGCAUGAUGGGUCUUGGAAAGAUAUUGUUUCGGUGGGGGAUGGGCUCGCGGCCUAUCAGCUUGUUGGUGGGGUGAUGGCCUACCAAGGCGGUGACGGGUAGCCGGCCUGGGAGGGUGGACGGUCACACUGGGACUGAGACACGGCCCAGACUCCUACGGGAGGCAGCAGUGGGGAAUAUUGAACAAUGGGCGAAAGCGUGAUGCAGCGACGCCGCGGGAGGGAUGGAGGCCUGCGGGUUGUGAACGUCUUUCGCCAGUGAAGCAGGCCUGCCUCGUUUGUGGGUGGGUUGACGGUAGCUGGAUAAGAAGCGCCGGCUAACUACGUG